ensembl:lncRNA LINC01229 long intergenic non-protein coding RNA 1229
GGAGAACUCCAAGGGCAGGAGGUAACCAUUAAAGAGGACCAUCAUGUAGUGUGAGGAGUCAACAUUUCACACUAGAAAGCCCUUGGUUCAAGUUUUGUCUCUGCCACCUACAGAUUUUGUAACCCUGAGAGAAAAGGAAAAUCCUACGGAGGAGGGGCUCUGAUGGCUUUGAAGAAGGCAGUGAAUGGCCACAUGUUCCCUGAGGACAGCACAGGCUAAAGGCUCAGCUAGAAGAAAGGCACAGAGAUAGCAAGGGAAACUAGCUACCUCUUUAUGUACUGCCCUAUGGAGAGGCACACAUGUCAAGAAACUGAGGGAGUGCCUUCCAGUCAACAGCCAGCCAGGAACUAAGGUGCUCAGUACAGCAGCCUCCACAAAGGACUGAACAAUGCCAACAGCUAUUUGACUGUGCUUGGAAGAUCUCCGUUUAGUUAACCCUUCAGAUGAGACCGCAGCCCUGGCCAGCAAACAAAUUGCAGCCUAUGGAAAGACCUUAAGGCAGAAGCACCCAACUGAACCACCCGAGGGCUCUGACUUACAGAAACUGUGAGCAUAUAGUGAAAUGGCCUCUACCUUAUUUUGAAUGGAUUUCUGGGAUAAAGUUCUUCAGUGAUAACAUGUUUGAAGUUUCAGGAAAGAGGCACUGGCCUUUACUUCUCCACCUCGAUUCACUUCCAUGCUGUUGACAAAUGUUAUAGUUGCCCAGGAUCAGAGGGAGAGACUGACCCUGUGACCAUUUCCCCAAAGGCGGCCUUUGGCCACUCCGUGCACUGGAGCACAUGACCCUCUGCCUCGCCCCUGCCACAUUAACCAGGCGGCUAUCUUAUGUGCCCAUGUUACAUGCUCAUGAUAAAGCUGCAUUUCCUGAGGGGACACCAAUGGAUACACCUCUGCCUGGCACGCAGCUUAGAGGCUAAAUGUAUGAAAAGCAACACCAUGCAAAUCAUUUUGAAACUGCUGUGGAACUCUCACGGGACCCUCCAUUCUAGACAUCCAGUCCCACUAGUGAUCUGACCAUGAAACCUACUAAGAGACUUCCAGAAGAAGAUGACCUCUGAAAGGAGAAAACUUUCUUCCAAGCUUCUGUGGAACAAGAAGAUGCCAUCCCUUUGGUGGAGCCCAAAGGGAAACCAGGUAGUUAGCAAGAGAAACUGUUGUUAUCAUCUAUGAAAGGUGCUUCCUGGGGUUUCAGAGGAGGGUGCAGAAGGGGAACAGUGAGUCUGGAGGGACAGAUGGAACAUUCCUGCAAUGCUAUCAAUCCAUAUCUGACCCUCAAUUCAUGAAACUUUCCAGACAACCCACCCUGACAGAUCCCUCUCUUCUUAGAGCUCUCACGUACCUUUCUUUUAGCAUUUAACAUUCAUAACCUCAAAUGAAUGAUUUCUAUGCAUGA